rnacentral:lncRNA from 1 species
GGGUGCUUCUGCUCCGACUGCUUUUCCCACGGGCGUCAUCUAUAGUCCGGAGGACAGCCCCAGGGCAGAGGCCUCUGUUCAUCUAGUUUUUCCAUGUCCGAAGACUCAAAGAUUCUCAUUAGUCAUCCAUUUUUUCCCUCCGUUCUGCUGAAUAUCAACCUGAACUUUUUUUUUGCAUCACUGGGCAUUAUCAUUUCACACUUUGAGUUCCUGGAGCUGGAAGUACAGAAUCCAA